GCAUGAAUGGUGUAGCGGUAACAUUCAACCCUUCCACUCUCUCUAGAGCAAGGUUGAGCUCGGGGUUCGACUCCCCGUUCAUGCA